GUAACGGUUUUGUCUUUGAAAUUUGUUUUUUACUGAAUCGUAAAGUUUAUCAUCUAGUUUACAGUGGAAGGAUCUGUUUCUCAUCACUGGCUAUAAAAUUCAGCUAACAUUCAUCUAGCACCAGGAUCAGCAGUGCUUAGCAUAAACUAAGUCAGAUACUUGCUAGCUAAUUUAGCUAACGUCGGUAGCUUCGAACCCUGGCCAUAUUAUAUCAUAUAGUUAGCCUCAAACUUUGCCCGGUCAUCUGCUAGCUGCAGAGAACGGCAUCUUCUUGUGUUUUAUUAAAAGCCCUGCUGAAAAAACAUGUAAACUAUAACAGCCACGGAAACACAUUGGAUUGUGUUAAUACUAUCAAGACCUGAGCCCUAGGACCAUGCCUCAGGACUACCUGGCAUGAUGACUCCUUGCUGUCCCCAGUCCACCUGGCCGUGCUGCUGCUCCAGUUUCAACUGUUCUGCCUGCGGCUAUGGAACCCUGACCUGUUCACCGGACGUGCUACAUGUCCCAGACCUGCUGUUAUCAACUCUCUAGAGACAGCAGGAGCGGUAGAGAUACUCUCAAUGAUCGGCUAUGAAAAGCGAACUGACAUUUACUCUUGAGGUGCUGACUUGUUGCACCCUCGACAACUACUGGGAUUAUUAUUAUUUGACCAUGCUGGUCAUUUAUGAACAUUUGAACAUCUUGGCCAUGUUCUGCUAAAAUCUCCACCCGGCACAGCCAGAAGAGGACUGGCCACCCCUCAUAGCCUGGUUCCUCUCUAGGUUUCUUCCUAGGUUUUGGCCUUUCUAGGGAGUUUUUCCGAGCCACCGUGCUUCUACACCUGCAUUGCUUGCUGUUUGGGGUUUUAGGCUGGGUUUCUGUACAGCACUUUGAGAUAUCAGCUCAUGUAAGAAGGGCUAUAUAAAUAAAUUUGAUUUAUUUAUUGUAACAUUGCACAUAUUGUAACAGUCCCUUGACUAACAUGACUUAACUACUUUGCAUAAUGCUCAGUUUACCCACUAAGAAAUCAUACAUUUAUUAGAGCUGCAUUAUCUAUUAUUGUGUCCAAUUGAUUCUGGUUGGUUGUAAUGUUUUUGAAAACUUUCACUACACAACUUUUAUUGCUGAUAGACAAUCCUGUUGGAAACUUUCAUAAUAUCAAUUAUUUUGGGACACAUCAAUUAACAUUGGCUGCAGUAUUCCGAACUUACUAGGUAGUCAUGCAAUAAACGUUUUGGAUAAUUCCC
rnacentral:lncRNA from 1 species